GCCCGGUUAGCUCAAUCGGUAGAGCGUGAGACUCUUAGUAUUCUCGUUUACGAGGAAAAACGGCGUCAUCUCAAGGUUGCGGGUUCGACCCCCGCAUCGGGCU